UGCAGUCGAACGAAGUAGCAAUACUUAGUGGCAGACGGGUGAGUAACAUGUAGGUAUCUGCCCUUUGGCCUGGAAUAACACGAGGAAACUUGUGCUAAUACCGGAUAAGUCUUUACGGAGAAAGCUUUAUGCACCAUUGGAUGAGCCUGCGCUUGAUUAGUUUGUUGGUGGGGUAAUGGCCUACCAAGACUUUGAUCAAUAGCUGAUUUGAGAGGAUGAUCAGCCACAUUGGGACUGAGACACGGCCCAAACUCCUACGGGAGGCAGCAGUGGGGAAUCUUGCACAAUGGAGGAAACUCUGAUGCAGCGAUGCCGCGUGAGUGAAGAAGGCCUUUGGGUUGUAAAGCUCUUUCGUCGGGGAAGAAAAUGACUGUACCCGAAUAAGAAGGUCCGGCUAACUUCGUGCCAGCAGCCGCGGUAAUACGAAGGGACCUAGCGUAGUUCGGAAUUACUGGGCUUAAAGAGUUCGUAGGUGGUUGAAAAAGUUGGUGGUGAAAUCCCAGAGCUUAACUCUGGAACUGCCAUCAAGACUUUUCAGCUAGAGUUUGAUAGAGGAAAGUAGAAUUUCUAGUGUAGAGGUGAAAUUCGUAGAUAUUAGAAAGAAUACCGAUUGCGAAGGCAGCUUUCUGGAUCAUUACUGACACUGAGGAACGAAAGCAUGGGUAGCGAAGAGGAUUAGACACCCUCGUAGUCCAUGCCGUAAACGAUGUGUGUUAGACGUUGGAAAUUUAUUUUCAGUGUCGCAGCGAAAGCGAUAAACACACCGCCUGGGGAGUACGACCGCAAGGUUAAAACUCAAAUGAAUUGACGGGGACCCGCACAAGUAGUGGAGCAUGUGGUUU
rnacentral:rRNA from 1 species